rnacentral:rRNA from 1 species
AGAGUUUGAUCAUGGCUCAGGACGAACGCUGGCGGCGUGCUUAAUACAUGCAAGUCGAACGGGGUCCAACUGGUGGCAACACCAGUGAAGACCUAGUGGCGAACGGGUGAGUACCACGUGAGCAACCUGCCCCGAAGACUGGGAUAACACCGGGAAACCGGUGCUAAUACCGGAUACCCCCAUCUGAUCGCAUGAUUGGAUGAGGAAAGGAUUCUGCUUCGGGAGGGGCUCGCGGCCUAUCAGCUUGCUGGUGAGGUAACGGCUCACCAAGGCAACGACGGGUAGCUGGUCUGAGAGGACGAUCAGCCACACUGGGACUGAGACACGGCCCAGACUCCUACGGGAGGCAGCAGUAGGGAAUCUUGCGCGAUGGGCGAAAGCCUGACGCAGCAACGCCGCGUGAGGGACGAAGGCUUUCUGAGUUGUAAACCUCUUUCAGCAGGGACGAUUGUGACGGUACCUGCAGAAGAAGCACCGGCCAACUACGUGCCAGCAGCCGCGGUGAUACGUAGGGUGCGAGCGUUGUCCGGAUUUAUUGGGCGUAAAGAGCUCGUAGGCGGUUCGAUAAGUCGGGUGUGAAAUCUCCAGGCUCAACCUGGAGUCGCCACUCGAUACUGUCGUGACUAGAGUCCGGUAGGGGACCAUGGAAUUCCUGGUGUAGCGGUGAAAUGCGCAGAUAUCAGGAGGAACACCAGUAGCGAAGGCGGUGGUCUGGGCCGGUACUGACGCUGAGGAGCGAAAGCGUGGGGAGCGAACAGGAUUAGAUACCCUGGUAGUCCACGCCGUAACGUUGGGCACUAGUGUGGGGCCUAUUCAACGGGUUCCGUGCCGUAGCUAACGCAUUAAGUGCCCGCCUGGGGAGUACGGCCGCA